rnacentral:rRNA from 1 species
UACGUAGGGUGCAAGCGUUGUCCGGAAUUAUUGGGCGUAAAGAGCUCGUAGGCGGUCUGUUGCGUCGGCUGUGAAAACCCGGGGCUCAACUCCGGGCCUGCAGCCGAUACGGGCAGACUAGAGUUCGGCAGGGGAGACUGGAAUUCCUGGUGUAGCGGUGAAAUGCGCAGAUAUCAGGAGGAACACCGGUGGCGAAGGCGGCAUCCUGGACCGGCAUUGACGCUGAGGCGCGAAAGCUAGGGGAGCAAACGGG